UUCAAUAUUGAUCAAGAGACAAAGCCUAUCAAUCAUCUACAAUCAGUACAUUCAAUCAAGAAAUAUUCAUUCACUACUCAUCAAUCAUCUAUCUAGACUCACCUUUGAUUCCAUGAGAUUGGCUAGGGAAAACUAGACUCGAGCUCAACUAAUAACGCUCCAUUUCACUCCUGAUUCAGAAUGUGUGGAUACAAGAUCAGUCACGUUGAUUCCAACAGAAACUCUACUCAGCUUAGUUCAAAGCAGUUCAGUUCGGUUGAAGGAUAAUUCAGUUCAGCUAAGCCUUUAAAAAAAUAUCUAAGGGACAUAACUGAACCAAGAUCAAUCCACAUACAGGUUUAAAAACUAAUCUGGACAGGAAGCUUAACAAAUCAUUCCACUUGUUCCAAACAAAACUUCUCUGAACUAGUAGCUAUGGCUUACCGAUUUCCUCAAGCUUUAAGAUGAACUUGGUUGAUAUAAACUUCAAUCUGAACACACGUCUAACCUGAUCAGGACAAGAUACCCAUGAUAGGUUCAAGAUCAGAAACAGACCAAAUCGUUUUGGUUACCUAACAAGAACUGAAGCUCAAGCAAAACUGAUCUCAUAAAACCCAUAUGUUCUUACCGAUAAAAUCCAAGGCUAAAGAACUUGGGUGAUUCUAAACUCUUGAACACCAAACCUUCAGCUCUUAACCACCACAACACACUGAUUAAAGUCAGAGGAUGGUGAGAAAGGUUCGUCCAAACUCACUUCUCUUCCCUGAUUUUUUUUCUGAAUUUUUCAACUAAUUUUUCUCACAGAUUUUUCUCUCUUUCUCUCUGAAUUUUCUCUGGUUUUUCUUGCAGUAACAGGACGUCCAGAGAAGAGAAGACGAUGUUUUAUACCAUAUGGGGUUGCUUCAGUUCAUGGUUUUCUCUUUACACAAAGUGGCAGUUUGGAGAAACAUGUGGCAACCAGCUUCAGCACAAGCAGCUCACCUUUCCCUUAUGUGAACAGCUUGUGACCAGCAUGUGACUUCUAAUGAGAAAGCAGGUAAGCAAGUAGGUGCAUGUCAUGUGACCUAAUUACUGAGAAAGCAAGUAGGCUAGAAUGUGCAAGGGAUGUAACUGUUCAGAAAUAAUUUUCAGAGUUUUGUUGAUAUUUUUCUGACUAUUUCGACUAAAUAUUUUUCAUCAUUCGAAUCUCGUCCUGCUCUGAAUAAACUCACCUAGCAUGAAUAAAAAUCGACAAUAGUAAUUAACACUCGACCAGAAUCAUCAAGAGAUGGUUUUUCGACCAAAAGACAGCCCGUCGAGAGGUUAAUUCACCGUGUCGAUUUUUAUUUAAAUUCUGAUCGAUCAAUCUUCAAACUGAUCUUAAAGAAUUUUCUCUACCAAAAUUCUAUCUGCUCGUGAGGGUUAUUACACCGGCGGCCCUUGAAAAUCCAGAGGACCGAGUGCCGCUCACGCCUGGUCGUACUCAUAACCGCAUCAGGUCUCCAAGGUGAACAGUCUCUGGUCGAUGGAACAAUGUACGCAAGGAAGUCGGCAAAAUGGAUCCGUAACUUUGGGAAAAGGAUUGGCUCUGAGGGCUGGGCUCGGGGGGUCCCAGUUCCGUACCCAUCAACUUUUGGCGGGAUGCUUGAGCUGCGGACGUGGCGAGAGCGGACCGCCUCGUGUCGGCAGGGGGACGGACUGGGAACGGCUCUUUCGGGAUCUUUCCCCGGGCGUCGAACAGCCAACUCAGAACUGGUACAGACAAGGGGAAUCCGACCGUUUAAUUUAAACUAAGCAUUGCGAUGGUCCUUGCGGAUGCUAACGCAAUGUGAUUUCUGCCCAGUGCUCUGAAUGUCAAAGUGAAGAAAUUCAACCAAGCACGGGUAAAUGGCGGGAGUAACUAUGACUCUCUUAAGGUAGCCAAAUACCUCGUCAUCUAAUUUGUGACGUGCAUGAAUGGAUUAACGAGAUUCCCACUGUCCCUGUAUACUAUCCAGGGAAACCACAGCCAAGGGAACGGGCUUGGCAGAAUCAGCGGGGAAAGAAGACCCUGUUGAGUUUGACUCUAGUCCGACUUUGUGAAAUGACUUGAGAGGUGUAGAAUAAGUGGGAGCUCCGGCGCAAGUGAAAUACCACUACUUUUAACGUUAUUUUACUUACUCCGUGAUUCAGAGGCGGCGUAACAACCACUUCUUUUAGACCCAAGACUCGCUUCGGUGCGUCAAUCCGGGCGGAGGACAUUGUCAGGUGGGGACUUUGGCUGGGGCGGCACAUCUGUUAAAAGAUGAGCUCAACGAGAACAGAAAUCUCGUGUGGAACAAAAGGGUAAAAGCUCAUAUGAUUCUGAUUUUUCACCAAGUGUUGGAUUGUUCACCCACCAAUAGGGAACGUGAGCUGGGUUUAGACCGUCGUGAGACAGAUUAGUUUUACCCUACUGAUGCCCGCGUCGCAAUAGUAAUUCAACCUAGUACGAGAGGAACCGUUGAUUCGCACAAUUGGUCAUCGGGCUUGGUUGAAAAGCUAGUGGCGUGAAGCUACCGUGCGCUGGAUUAUGACUGAACGCCACUAAGUCUGAAUCUGGGCUAGAAGCGACGCAUGCGCCCGCUGCCCGAUUGCCGACCCUCAGUAGGAGCUUCGGCUCCCAAAGGCACAUGUCGUUGGCUAAGUCCGUUCGACGGAAGCGUCGUUCGGACUGCCUUGAAUUAUAAUUACCACCCGAGCGGCGGGUAGAAUCCUUUGAAGACGACUUAAAUACGCGACGGGGUACUGUAAGUGGCAGAGUGGCCUUGCUGCCACGAUCCACUGAGAUUCAGCCCUUUUUCACUAAUAUUCGACCCUCCCCCUU
rnacentral:rRNA from 1 species